rnacentral:misc_RNA from 1 species
UUUCCGUAGGUGAACCUGCGGAAGGAUCAUUAACACGUAUCCAACGUACAAACCCCUUUAUACGAACCAUAACCCGCCCUUUGACUGCGUUUGAGUCGCAUUCGUGCGACAAAGCAGCGUGCAACGGGGAACUGUUGCAUUGCUGGCGCUCUGUCUGGGAUUUCAUUCCAGAUACCCCGCGCAGUACUGCGUGCCUUUUUCACUUUUUUCAACCCAUUCUCUGGUUUGACGAAAACAACACUUCUUGUCGAGUCUGCCGUUCGCGGUAACUUGCAGGAUUUUACUUAUUAAACGCUGAACAACUUUUAGCAACGGAUGUCUUGGUUCUC